GUCACUCCGCGUUCUCACCGAAAGCGCGUAAUCGCCGGUGUAACUCAUGUUAGCUGGGGGCGAGGGAGGGGGGCUCCCGG
rfam:Ochotona princeps cont2.682621, whole genome shotgun sequence.